rnacentral:rRNA from 1 species
GUUGGUUUUACCCGAAGACGGUGCGCUAACCGCAAGGAGGCAGCCGGCCUCGGUAAGGUCAGCGACUGGGGUGAAGUCGUAACAAGGUAGCCGUAGGUGAACCUGCAGAAGGAUCA